rnacentral:lncRNA from 1 species
CCCGAAUCCCUUACCAGGCACAGGGAGGGUGUCCUGGAGCUACUACCGAAUAAUGGCAACCAUAAUCAAAAUAACAUCGUUAUGGACGAUAAUAAUAGUAACCACUGACGUUAAAUGAGGGUCUUCUGGGUCCGAGAAGUCGUGACAACGGGCCUUCAUUUAAUCUUCAUAAGGGGGGAAUUUAUGGAGGGGGAAAUUGAGGCAUGUUUUCUCCCAUUUCUUUUUCUGUCUGGGCUUUCUGGGCUAUAGCAGUCCCGAACCAUUGGAGAAUUUCGAGUAUGAACUGAAUGUGAGUUAUUGCAUGAAAUAAUUUUAUGUGUGCAGUGAUAGGUUAGAAAAUGGAGUCAUUUAGAAAUGAAGAGUUUUGUUUGAAGCUUACUUCAACUGAUUCAGAAAAGAAUCACAUGCAUAAUGUGCAAAAGUAUGCAAACAAUAUUUGGGAUAUAGCGACACCAAAAAGUAUUUGCUUGUUAAACUAAAACUUAGUAACUAGGCAUCCUGUUAUUUUGGUUCUUUGUUUUGUUUUAAUUUGCUAAGUCUUGUCGAACCUUGGCUUCAGUAACUUGGCCUCAGACAAUGCUGUGUUCAUUUUUUCUAAGUACUUGCUUAGUAAAUAUUAAUAAGUAAAUAUUAAUAUGAAAAUAUAUUUGAGGCCAUUUUAAUACUAAAAAUUUACUUACUGGCUGGACAGUGCUAGCAUACACCUUUAAUCCCAGUAACUGGGAGGCAGAGGUAGGUGGAUCUCUGAGUUAGAGGUCAGCACAGAGUGAGUUCCAGGACAACCAGGGCUAUAAAGAGGAACCCUGUCUCAAACAAAACAAAACAAAACAAAACAAAAACCCAGAAUCACACCAAUCCAACAAAAAAUACUUACUAUAAAUGAGUACGUACUCAAUAUUAAAAGCAUUUUUAUUUCCAGACAUGGUAGUGUAUGCCUUUAACUCCGGCACUAAGUAGGCAGAGGAAGGCAGAUCUCUGGGAUUUCAAUGCCAGUCUGGUGUACAUAGUAAGUUCCAGGCUAGCAGGGCUUACAAAGUGAGACCCUAUUUAAAGGUAAUAAAUACAAGUAUUUUUCUUUUAUUUGUUCUGGCAAGUGCUCUACCAUUUAGCUAUACCACUACCCUUAACUUUACUAUUGUUGUUGUGUGUGUGCGAGGAUGUGCAUGUCGAAGUCAGAAAACAACUUUGUGCAGGCCGUUCUCUCUUUCUACCUUCACAUGGGGAUUGAACUCAGGUCGUCAGACUUGUGUGGAAAGCACCUUUAGCCGUGGAGCCCGCUUUCUCUCUCUCUCUCUCUCUCUCUCUCUCUCCCUCUCUCUCUCUCUCUCUCUCUCUCUCUCUCUCUCUCUCUUUCUCUCUCUUUCCCUUUUUUCAGAACAGGGUCUCACUAUGUUGCCCCAGCUGGCCUCAAACUCACAGACAUUUGCUUCCAUCUGCCUCCUGAGUGCUAGGAUUAAAGGCAUGUGCCACCUUGCCUAAUAUUGGUUUGUAGUGUGGGUGUGUGUGUGUGUGUGUGUGUGUGUGUGUGUGUGUGUGUGUGUACAUUGUUAGAGGCUCUUAGCCUCUUCUCCCACCACAUAGAUCCUAGGGAUCAAACUCCUGUCAAUGGGAUUGGGGCCAAAAUGUGUGGCUACCCAGUGAACCACCUCACUCAUCUAAACCUUUGAUUUUUAGAGAGAGAGUAUUUGAUUACGAAGUCCAGGCUGGCCUCAGAUGGAACUGUUAACCCUCCUUCCUCCUCUUCCUAGAUUCUGGGAUUAUAAGCAUGUACCAUGAUGCCUAGC